UGGGCAGACAGUAUACAUGUGAACUUGGCAAUAGUUUAGUAGCUCUGUUGGGUUACUUUUGUAUCUGUGGUUCUGCAACCUUGAGUUUGAGAUAGUUCAAUAGAACUCCAAAAGGUAGAGCCAUCUGAAUCUGGGAUCCAGAGGAGACACAGAAGGAAGCUAGUGUGGUCUGAUUUGAGAAGAUGACUUUAUUAUUGAAAGACAUUUGUGCUCUGGAUAUCGAAAGAAGACCUUUACCAAAGGAGCUUACUUGCUUUCCUUCCCAGCCGUGUUAAAGAUGAGACCCAUUG